UCCGCAUGUCACGGCACGGAGGCGCGGAUGUCUGACGGUUUUUGAGGAGGAACGGUUUUGAGUUUUGAACAUGGCUUGAAUCACUCACGACCUCCUACUAUACUCGUGGUCGUGGUUUGUCAGCAGGCAGGACCCCUUCGCCUACGUGUCACGGGGAACAGAAAAAGACGACAGCGAAGACGUCGAGAUAGGCGCCACAAGUGCGCACGUGCCGUCGCGCGUGACUUGCAAGUCACGCAAGCUCACAUCUGCGCUCAAAAAUGAACGUCCAAACAGAAGUCUGAACGGAGCGACGUCCCAGAGCACCUCGGAAAGACCAUCGGUUUCAAAAGAACCUGGUCCUUGCCCAGAGAAGACUCGCGUAUUGGCUUCCGCAAACAGCCAUCCUGGCCUUAUUGGAAGGCUCAUCAGGUGAACCAGCCCAUCCCGAACACCGUCGUUGGCUCCCCUGAUUUCUUCCUUCAUAACGGGAAGCGUACGCCUUUUUUGUGAUACUUAUGCAGUGCCCUCGCAGCCACGUCCUCGGAGUCAAAGAGUACAAAAGCGUCUCCCGUGGCCCUUCCAUCCGGCUUGCGAACAAAGAGCACGCCUUCUUCAUCAUCUAGCACUGCACAGCCAGACUCCUCCGGUGCCGCAAAGAACUCCACCUUGUAUAAAAAAUAAAAAUUCGUCCAAUACGUGUUA